rnacentral:lncRNA from 1 species
GGGUACGAAAGAGGAACCCGGGGGCGCGGGGUGAGUGAAGGGCUGGGGCGGGAGGGGGCGGCAGGCCGGACAAAGACCUGGAGGAAGGGGUUGUUGCGGGCCGCCUGAGGCCCAGCGGACUCCCCCAGUGUCCGGCCGUCCACCGCCGCCUCGCCCGGGAUCCGGGAGGAAGUGCGGUGGGCGCGCAGCCGGACGCAGGGCCAGAGGGCUGCGAGGAGGCGCCCUGGAGCCGGCAGGGCGCGGGCUCGGAGGAGGCCGGGGCGGCCCUGGGUCCCGGGGCUGCCCAGUAGUGCGGUCAGCGACUCGGGUCUCCAGCUCUGUUGGUCCACUACGCCGAAGCGGCGUUCAGCGUGCAGCUUGGGCCGGGUGUGGACGCGUUUCUUACUGCAYGUCGGCAAAUGCCCCCGCACCUCUUGGCUGAAUUCUGCACUGCAGAGCCCUGCAGAUUUGAAGCCUCAAACUGGAACAUCUCUGCAUUUUUCCUGAGGACCUGCCUGGAAAGGAAGUGGGGACUGCUGCUGUGGAAGUGUCCUUGGUGCCAAGGUGUCCUACAGUGUGCUGCUCCCACCCCGCAGCUGUGUUUAAGUGCAGAGUUUCCUGGAGGCCUUGGACCCUGGGCCUGCAGAGCUCAACGGUCAGGCCCAUGA